GUAAAAUUUCGGAGGCUUCUACAAAAUUGAUCAGAAUACCAACAAUAUUGCAGCUAAUUAAUCAACUCCACAAAAUUUGGGUCGAGGUACGUACCGGGAAUGGCAACAGAGGGAGGAGAGGGUUUGGCAUGGACGAUGACAAGCUUGAAAGGAGGAUUUGAGGUAAAGGGAGCGAAGAAGUGCUUCAGAGUCCAUUCCAAAGCGUAUGCGCUGUGUUCAUGAUCGUCGAAACCGACCACCAUCACUUGCUUCUCAGAUGUCGCCAUUAAUGGGAGCU